GUGGACAAGGAGGAAGCUCCACUCAAGCUGCAGGCAGUGACAGUUCCCUGGAUUCUGGUGAUUCUCUGAUAGUCCAUACAGUGUGAGACCGCUGCCUUUGGGGACUGAGUGAUGCAGGAUUUCUUCUCAUCUUCAUUUUGUGGCUUCAACAUCCACUGGUUUUUCUUGUUGGAACAGGCAUAU